UGUUGCACAAAAGUAGAAUUAAGACAUCCGGGAUAAAUGACUCAGCUGAGCUCAAUGAAGCCAAAACAUGUGCGUCCAGGCUUAAUUGGUUGCACAAAGACCAAGCCAGGAUGAGCAGACACGGAUUCAUUAAGCCAGGUGAAACCAAUCCUGGAUAGGUGCGCGCUCACGGCUCACUCAAAUAGACCCCGCCACAGAUCACAGAUUAACUGAUUUACCAUGGCAACUAGAGCCGCGUACUUUUCCCCGUCGGAAGCACAAAUCCUCAUGGAGGCAUACGAGGAGGUAAAAUAUAUAAUUAAGAAGAAAGGCAACACCGCCACAGUGAUAAAGCAAAGAGAAAAAGCGUGGCAAAGUAUUGCAGACCGCCUGAAUGCGUAAGUAGUGCACAAUUACACACUCACCGCUCCGCUGAAACAUCACAAUUACAAUUCAAAUAUUUAAUUCACAUCUCCAAAAAUGCAGUUGUACUGUAAUUAUGAAACGGUUAAAUUUUUAAUUGAAAUGCACUGCAGAUAUGAGUGAAAUUGUGUAAAGUAACUCCAUCACACUGUAUAAAGCUAUGAUAAAAUUUUUGAUAUUGUCCAUUGACGAACACUCUGCAUUGCCAGUGAUGUGCAUUGAUUGGUGUAAUAUUCCUCAUCUUAUGAUUUCAGAUGGUCUGCAAUGCUGACUGUGUGAUCAGCAAUGUUGUGGCAAAAUGGCCUGGCUCAGUCCAUGACUCCAGAAUCUUUCGGGCCUCUGAAAUCUAUCAGUGCCUAUCACAAGGUGAAUUCUCUGGUGUGUUGCUGGGAGACAGGGGUAUGGCUGCCAGCCUUUUCUCCUGACACCUUUCACAGACCCCCAGGAAGCACAGCAGGCCUACAACCAUGCCCAUGCCAGGACCAGGGCCAGAGUUGAAAUGACCUUUGGCCUCCUGAAGGCACGCUUUCACUGCCUUCACAAAUUAAGGGUCAGCCCUGUUAGGGCAUGUGAUAUUACUGUGGCUUGUGCUGUCCUCCACAAUGUGGCCUGCCUGAGGAAGGAGAGGGCCCCCAGAGUGCCACCAGCCAUGGACUGGGACAAUCCGGCAAUCUUCCCUGAUGACGACAGUGGUCGGCUGCUGAGGGACCAAUAUGUGUUGAAUUAUUUUAGUUAGUAUGUGUGCUUUCAAUUUUGGUUAAAUAUGUCUGCGGUGGCAGAGGAAUUUGGGUUUUUUUGGGUUCGUUUUUGACGAAUUUGGCCUCUUAUGAUGUUUGUGCGGUAUACUGUGUGUAAUACAAGGCUGCAGGGAGGCUACUGCAUCCAUUCAUUUGUCUGUUCAGUUGAUGUGUAUGGAUUUGUCCUGCAUUUAUUUUAGUGUGCAGACAUGCAGGGUGUGUUAUAUACAGACCUUUGAAUGUGUAUGUAUCAUUUUGUAUAAUAUGCUUGGAUUCUGUGCUUUCCAUCUUGUAGAGUCACUGUGACUUCAGUUUCGAAAGGAGCUGAUGGUUUACCUGCUUUGUUUUGUCCUUAUUCAAUAAAGGAACAUAAUGUUACACAUUGUGUUUUUAUAUUCA